rnacentral:rRNA from 1 species
UACGGGGGGGGGUAAGCGUUGUUCGGAAUUACUGGGCGUAAAGGGCUCGUAGGCGGCCAACUAAGUCGGACGUGAAAUCCCUCAGCUUAACUGGGGAACUGCGUCCGAUACUGGAUGGCUUGGAUUUGGGAGAGGGAUGCGGAAUUCCAGGUGUAGCGGUGAAAUGCGUAGAUAUCUGGAGGAACACCGGUGGCGAAGGCGGCAUCCUGGACCAAUAUUGACGCUGAGGGAGCGAAAAGCCAGGGGGAGCAAACGGGG